UCUCUCUCUCUCUCAAAAAUAAGAGCACCCUCAAGCAAAUGGGGGAGAGGCAGGGAGAGAGAAUCCCAAGCAGGCUCAACACAGGGCUUGAUCUCAUGACCGAGAGAUCAUGACUUGACUGUUAUCAAGAGUCAGAUGCUUAACCAACUGAACCACCCAGGAGCUCCUGUAGAUUGCUUUAGAUGAUGUGGAUAUUUUAACAAUAUUAAUUCUUCCAGCCCAUGAGCAUGGAAUAUCCUUCCAUUUGUGUGUCUUCAAUUUCUUUCAUCAGUAUCUUUUAGUGUACAGAUCUCUCACUUCCUCAGUUAGAUUUACUCCUAGGUCGUUUAUUAUUUUUUGAUGCAAUUACACAUGGGAUUGUUAAUUUCUCUGAUAGUUGAUUGUUAGUGCAUAGAAAUACAACUGAUCUCUGUGUAUUGAUUUUGCUUCCUGCAACUUUACUGAAUCCAUUUAUUAGUUCUAACAGUUUGGAGGGGUUUUUUUGUCGUCCCUUUAAUGUUUUCCAUAUAUAAGAUCAUAUCUCCAAAUACAGGAAGUUUUACUUAUUCUUUUACCAAUUGGAUGCCUUUCAUUUCUUUUUCUUGCCUGAUUGCUGUGGCUAUGACCUCUAGUACUACUUUGAACAAAAGUGGUGAGAGUGGGUAUUCUUGUCUUAUUCCUGAUCUUAACAGGAAAAGCUUUUCUCUGUUAGGAGUAAUUAGCUGUGAGCUUAUCAUAUAUGGCCUUCACUGUACUGAGAUAUGUUCCCUCUAUAUGCAUUUUGUUGAGGGUUUUUUAAAUCCUAAAUCAAUGUUAAGUUUUGUCAAAUCCUUUUCCUUCAUUUAUUGAGAUGAUCAUAAUUUUUGUCCUUCAUUGAAUUCAUGUGGUGGAUCACACUGGAUGAUUUGUGGGUGCUGAGUUAUCCUUGCAUCCCUGGGUUAACUCCCACUUGACUCUGGUGUAUGACCCUUUUAAUGCAUUGUUAAAUUCAGUUUGCUAAUAUUUUGUUGAGGAUUUUCGCAUCCAUGUCAUCAAGGAUAGUUAAGUGUAAUUUUUCUUUCCUUAGAGUGUCUUUGUCUGGUUUUAGCAUCAGGGUAAAGCUGACCUUAUAAAAUAAGUUUGAAAUUGUUCCUUCCUGUUGUAGUUUUUGGGAUAGUUGGAGAAGAAUUGGUGUUAAUUUUUCUUUAACUGUUUGGUAGAAGCACCAGGACGGUCUGGUCCUGAAAUCCUUGUUAGGAGGUUUUUGAUUACCAAUCUGUUUAUUAGUAAUUGGUCUGUCCAGAUUUUCUGUUUCUUCAUGACUCAGUCUUGGUAGGUUGUAUGUUUCUAAGAAUUUACUCAUUUCUUCUAGCUGACCCAGUUUGCUGGUGUUAGUCAUCCUUUGUGAUCCUUUGUAUUUGCAUGGUAUUAGUUGUAACGUCAUUUCUUUCAUUUAUAAUUUUGAGUCCUUUUUUUUUUUAUUAGUAUAAGUAGCUGAUUUGUCUAUUUUAUCUUUUUUUUUAAAAAUCUCUUAGUUUUGUUGAUCUUUUCUAUUAUCUCUUUAGACUCUAUUUCUACUCUGAUCUUUUUAUUCCUGUCCUUCUACUAAUUUGGGGCUUUUUUUCUAGUUCCUUGAGGUGUAAAGAUAGGUCGUUUAUUUGAGCUUUUUCUUAAUGUAGGCAUUUACUGCUAUAAGCUUCCCUCUUAAAACUGCUUUUACAGGGGCGCCUGGGUGGCUCAGUUGGUUAACCAUCCGACUUCGGCUCAGGUCAUGAUCUCAUGGUCCAGGAGUUCGAGCCCCGUGUUGGGCUCUGUGCUGACAGCUCAGAGCCUGGAGUCUGUUUCAGAUUCUGUGUCUCCCUCUCUCUCUGACCCUUCUCCAUUCAUGCUCUGUCUCUCCCUGUCUCAAAAAUAAAUAAAUGUUUAAAAAAAUUUUUUUUAAACUGCUUUUACUGCAUCUGAUAGGUUUUGGUAUGUUGUAUUUCCAUUUUAUUUGUUUCAAGAUAUAUUUUGUCUUUUUCUUUUUUGACCACUGGUUGUUUAGAAGUGUGUUGUUUAAUCUCUACAUGUUGUGAACUUUCCAAGUUUCUUCUUGUAAUUGAUUUCUAGUUUCAUUAUCAUUAUGAUCAGAAAAGAUGUUUGAUAGGACUUCAAUCUUCUUGAAUUUAUUAAGGCCUUUUUUGUGGAUAUUCUCUAUCCUGGAGAAUGCCCCAUGUGUAUUCUGCUGCUGGAUGAACUAUUGUGUAGAUGUCUGUCAGGUCCAUCUGGUCUAAUGCAUAGUUAAGUCUUCUUAUUUUCUGUCCAUUACUGAAAACGGGGUCUUGAAGUUUGCUGUUACUGUAUUCCUGUCUAUUUCUCUCAUCAGGUCUGUUACUGUUUGCUUUAUAUAUUUAGGUGCUCCUAUGUUGCGUACAACAGUAAUUUUAAAUUUUUAUUUUAUCCUCUUGUUGGAUUGACCCCUUUAUCAUUAUAUUAUGACCUUCUUUGUCUCUUCUUACUGUCUUUGGUCUAAAGUCUAUUUUGUCUAAUAUACCCGUUUUCGUUUGGUUUUCGUUUGCAUGAAAUAUCUUUUUCCAUGUCUUCACUUUCAGUCUGCUUCCUUAAAACUUAAAGGCAGCUUAUAGUUGGUCUUUUUUAUAAUCCAUUCAGCUGCUCUAUAUCUUUUCAUUGGAGAAUUUAGUCCAUUUACAUUUAAUUACUUAUAUUGGGGUGCUUGGGUGGCUCAGUCAGUUGGGCAUCCAGCUUCGGCACAGGUCAUGAUCUCACAGUCUGUGCGUUCAAACCCUGCAUCGGGCUCUGUGCUGACAGCUGGGAGCCUGGAGCCUGCUUCAGAUUCUGUCUCCCUCUCUCUCUGCCCCUCCUCCGUUCACACUCUGUCUCUCUCAAAAAUAAACGUUAAAAAUUUUUGUUAAAUAAUUACUUUCAGUCUUACUAUUGCUAUUUUGUUCAUUGUUUCUGGUUGGCUUGUAAUUCCUUCAUUCCUUUCUUCCUCUUUCGCUCUGUGAUUUGAUAAUUUGCUGCAGUGAUAUGCUUAAUCUUUUGUGUAUCUACUACAGAGUUUGACUUUGUGGUUACCAUGAGGGUUACAUAGUUUUAACAGUGUAUUUUAGGUUGAUAAUACCUUAGCUUUGAAUACAUACUAAAGUUCUAUAUUUUUACUCCCCCCCCCCAUUUUGGUUUUGAUAUCACAAUUUACAUCUCCUUACAUGUUAUAUCCAUUAACAAAUUACUAUAAAUACCUUUGUCUUUUAACCUUUAUUAUAAGUGAAUUAUAGAUUGGUAAGUGAUUUACUCAUCACCAUUACAAUAUCAGAGUAUUCUGAACUUAACUAGGUGUUAACCUUUACCAGUGAUAAUUAUACUUGCAUAUGUUUUCCUGUUACUAAUUAACAUCUUCUGUUUCAGCUUGAAGUCCCUUUAAUAUUUCUUGUAAGGUUGAUCUAAUGGUGAUGAACUCCUUCAAGCUUUUCUGGAAAAUUCUUGAUCUCUCCUUCAAUUCUGAAGGAUGACUUUGCCAGGUAUGGUAUUCUUGACCAGAAGGGCUUUUUUUGUUUUUUUUGUUUUGUUUUGUUUUGUUUCUUUCAGCACUUUGAAAAUACCAUGACAUUCCCUUAUGGCCUGAAAAGUUUCUGCUGAGAAAUCUGAUGGUCUUAUGGGAGGUGGGGGUUCCCUUCUAUGUAACCAGUUAUUUUUCUCUUACUGCUUUUAAUAUUCUCUCAUUGUCUUUAAAUUGUGACAGCUUAAUUAAAAUGUGUCUUGGUGUGGGUUUCCUUGAAUUCAUCUUAUUGGGAACUCUAUGGGCUUCCUGGAUCGGGAUAGUUCUUUCCCAGCUCCUCUAAUUGGAUGAAUCCCAUUGUACUGUCUUCAAAUUUGGUGUAUCCAGAGAAGAAAGUGAGUUCAGGAGCCUUCUAUAUCACUAUUUUAGACCUGAACUUGGGGUCUGAUCAGCGUGGGCCUGGGAAAUGCCAAGGAUAUAUCAUAGUCAAGGGCCUAGAAGUUGUAAGGUGCUACCAUCACGUGUAUCUGGAAGCAAACCUCGGUUCUGACUUCAGGGAAGGAUAUCUUAGCAAUGAUUUUUUGGAUGUCAAAUCAAAAUGUAACAAAAGCAAAAAUAAGUAAGUGGGACAUCACACUGAAAUUCUUCUGCACAGCAAAGGAAGCAGCCAACAAAAUGGAAAGGCAACCAACCUAUGAAAUGGGAGGAAAUAUUUGCAAAUCCUGUAUCUGACAAGGGGUUAAUAUAGAAGUUAUAUAAAGAACUCAUAUAUUCAAUGGCAAAAGCCAAACAAUUUGAUUAAAAAAUGGACAGAGGCACCUGGGUGGCUCAGUUAAGUGUCCGACUUCGGCUCAGGUCAUGAUCUCACAGUCCAGGAGUUCGAGCCCCGCGUUGGGCUCUGUGCUGACAGCUCAGAGCCUGAAGCCUGCUUCGGAUUCUGUGUCUCCCUCUCUCUCUCUGCCCCUCCCCCCCCCCCACACUCUGUCUCUCUCAGAACAUGAAUAAACGUUAAAAAAAAUUUUAAUAAAAAAUGGACAGAAGAACCAAAUAGACAUUUUCCCAGAGAAGACACACAAAUGGCCAACAGACACAUGGAAAGAUGCUCUAACUCACCAAUCAUCAGGGAAAUUCAAAUCAAAACAACGAGGUAUCAUCUCACACUUGUUAAAAUGGCUAUUAU